UUGGAGGGCAAGUCUGGUGCCAGCAGCCGCGGUAAUUCCAGCUCCAAUAGCGUAUAUUAAAGUUGUUGCAGUUAAAAAGCUCGUAGUUGAAUUUCGGGAUUGACGUGAUGGUCAUGCCUUAAGGGGUAUGAACUGUUACAGUUGAUUUCUCACCUUCUGGAGAAACUUGAUGUCCUUUAUUGGGUGUCUUGCGGAUCCAGGACCUUUACCUUGAAAAAAUUAGAGUGUUUAAAGCAGGCAUUUUUGCUCGAAUACAUUAGCAUGGAAUAAUAGAAUAGGACGGCAUGGUUCUAUUUUGUUGGUUUCUAGGAUCACCGUAAUGAUUAAUAGGGAUAGUUGGGGGCAUUAGUAUUCAAUUGUCAGAGGUGAAAUUCUUGGAUUUAUUGAAGACUAACUACUGCGAAAGCAUUUGCCAAGGAUGUUUUCGUUAAUCAAGAACGAAAGUUAGGGGAUCGAAGACGAUCAGAUACCGUCGUAGUCUUAACCAUAAACUAUGCCGACUAGGAAUCAGACGAUGUUAAUUUUUUAAUGACUCGUUUGGCACCUUACGGGAAACCAAAGUGUUUGGGUUC
rnacentral:rRNA from 1 species